rnacentral:rRNA from 1 species
AAACAUCGCCUCCCGCAAAACCGCAAUGUAUAGGAGGUCUUGCCUGCCCAGUGACUACAAGUUAAACGGCCGCGGUAUUUUGACCGUGCAAAGGUAGCGCAAUCACUUGUCUUUUAAAUGGAGACCUGUAUGAAUGGUAGAACGAGGGCUUAACUGUCUCCCCCUUCAAGUCAAUGAAAUUGAUCUCCCCGUGCAGAAGCGGGCAUAAUAAUACAAGACGAGAAGACCCUUUGGAGCUUGAGAUGCAAGACCAACUAUGUCAAAAAACCUUAAAAGAAUUAAACUAAAUAAUAACUGGUCCUCAUCUUCGGUUGGGGCGACCACGGGAGACAACAAAGCUCCCACGCGGACUGGGAAAAUACCCAAAACUAAGAGAGACAUCUCUAAGUCGCAGAAUAUCUGACCAAAAAGAUCCGGCUUCUUGCCGAUCAACGGACCAAGUUACCCUAGGGAUAACAGCGCAAUCCCCUUCCAGAGUCCAUAUCGACAAGGGGGUUUACGACCUCGAUGUUGGAUCAGGACAUCCUAAUGGUGCAGCCGCUAUUAAGGGUUCGUUUGUUCAACGAUUAAAGUCCUACGUGAUCUGAG